UGGGGAAUUUUGGACAAUGGGCGCAAGCCUGUUCCAGCCAUGCCGCGUGCGGGAAGAAGGCCUUCGGGUUGUAAACCGCUUUUGUCAGGGAAGAAAUCCUUUGAGCUAAUACCUCGGGGGGAUGACGGUACCUGAAGAAUAAGCACCGGCUAACUACGUGCUAGCAGCCGCGGUAAUACGUAGGGUGCGAGCGUUAAUCGGAAUUACUGGGCGUAAAGCGUGCGCAGGCGGUCUUGUAAGCUAGUCGUGAAAGCCCCGGGCUUAACCUGGGAACUGCGAUCGUGACUGCAAGGCUAGAGUGUGUCAGAGGGGGGUGGAAUUCCACGUGUAGCAGUGAAAUGCGUAGAUAUGCGGAGGAACACCGAUGGUGAAGGCAAUCCCCUGGACCUGUACUGACGCUCAUGCACGAAAGCGUGGGGAGCAAACA
rnacentral:rRNA from 1 species